rnacentral:lncRNA from 1 species
AUUCUGUCAUUAAUGACAUUCAUAAAAAUGUUGCACCGGCCUUCCAUUUUCUGCGGUGGUAAAAGUUCAAGGAAAUUCAUCUGAAGAGAAACUUAUAUGUUAGCUGCUCCAUGUAAUUGCUAACAGACACACGUUAUUUUCUUUUUCCCCUUUUUUUGGAUUGAUAAGAAAUGUAAAAUGUUAGUAGAUAAAGUUUUCUUAUAGUAAACAUGGAUUUUAUACUGAAUACCGCUGCAAGGAGGUGAGUCGAAUCGGGCGAGAGCCAGUCACCAUCAUAUUGUUUUGCAUGGGACCAGAACUGGUGAACUGGGCUGUGCUAGGAUGGGAUUUCUUUAACAUGCAAAAUAUUUCAGGGUGCUCGUUAUGCAUCCACAAAUAGUUCAUGGGGUUUAUAACUGCUGAUUCGUCAACUUCAUGAUAUGCUAACAAUAAAUCUAUGGGUUGCACUAAUUAUCUUUUAUCAUAAGGUAAGACAAUUGUUCAUACACAUGAAAGGGGAGCAACGUAGCAUUCCUCACUUAGAAUUGUUAUUUUAUAUCAAUUGAUCUUAGCAUGGCUUUAAGAGCUUUUCAUGGAAGUAGUCUCUAACUCUUAUGCAAACUAUUAUUUUGCCAGCUAAUUUCUAAUCACCAACCUUGCUCUUGAUGCAGCAGAUUUGAAAACUGCCGCAGAACACUUUCCGUUGCGAAGAACUUCUUGAUUCCCCUCUGCGGCCCCAACAAAUGUCUCCGUCAGAUGGUUUUAAUUGGCCUAGUGGUCUUUUUUUCCCUUUUUCUUUUUGAGAGAAACUGUGUAUUAUAUUAUUAAAUUAAGCUCUCGUUUUGGGUCAACAUUCAGAAUCUUAGAUUAAGGUCAGGCUUUUGUAAAGCUUGCAUCGUGUUUUGAUUUAGUAUUUGAUUUCUAAAGAACCCGCAAUAAUCUUCCUGUAUAAGGAGUAGGACAGAAACAUAAGGAUGCAAUAUUCAUGUCAAACAUACGAAAUUUUUCAUGGGAAAAGAUGCGAGAUUCAUAUAAAGCAUACCAAAUUUCUUAUUGGAAAUGAACUUGUCUAUCCA